UAGGGAAUAUUGGUCAAUGGGGGAAACCCUGAACCAGCAAUGCCGCGUGAGGGAAGACGGUUUUCGGAUUGUAAACCUCUGUCCUCUGUGAAGAUAAUGACGGUAGCAGAGGAGGAAGCUCCGGCUAACUACGUGCCAGCAGCCGCGGUAAUACGUAGGGAGCAAGCGUUGUCUGGAUUUACUGGGUGUAAAGGGUGCGUAGGCGGCGAGGCAAGUCAGAAGUGAAAUCCAUGGGCUUAACCCAUGAACUGCUUUUGAAACGGUCAUGCUUGAAUCAUGGAGAGGGUAGCGGAAUUCCGAGUGUAGAGGUGAAAUUCGUAGAUAUUCGGAAGAACACCGGUGGCGAAGGCGGCUACCUGGCCAUGUAUUGACGUUCAGGUGCGAAAGCGUGGGGAGCAAACA
rnacentral:rRNA from 1 species